UGGAUCCAGACUUUGAUUAUGGCUCAGGAUGAACGCUAGCUACAGGCUUAGCACAUGCGAGUCGAGGGGAAACGAUAUUGGAAGCUUGCUUCCGAUAGGCGUCGACCGGCGCACGGGUGAGUAACGCGUAUCCAACCUGCCCAUCACUUGGGGAUAACCUUGCGAAAGUAAGACUAAUACCCAAUGACGUCUCUAGAAGACAUCUGAAAGAGAUUAAAGAUUUAUCGGUGAUGGAUGGGGAUGCGUCUGAUUAGCUUGUUGGCGGGGUAACGGCCCACCAAGGCAACGAUCAGUAGGGGUUCUGAGAGGAAGGUCCCCCACAUUGGAACUGAGACACGGUCCAAACUCCUACGGGAGGCAGCAGUGAGGAAUAUUGGUCAAUGGACGAGAGUCUGAACCAGCCAAGUAGCGUGCAGGAUGACGGCCCUAUGGGUUGUAAACUGCUCUUAUAAGGGAAUAAAGUGAGCCUCGUGAGACUUUUUGCAUGUACCUUAUGAAUAAGGACCGGCUAAUUCCGUGCCAGCAGCCGCGGUAAUACGGAAGGUCCGGGCGUUAUCCGGAUUUAUUGGGUUUAAAGGGAGCGUAGGCCGGAGAUUAAGCGUGUUGUGAAAUGUAGACGCUCAACGUCUGCACUGCAGCGCGAACUGGUUUCCUUGAGUACGCACAAAGUGGGCGGAAUUCGUGGUGUAGCGGUGAAAUGCUUAGAUAUCACGAAGAACUCCGAUUGCGAAGGCAGCUCACUGGAGCGCAACUGACGCUGAAGCUCGAAAGUGCGGGUAUCGAACAGGAUUGGAUACCCUGGUAGUCCGCACGGUAAACGAUGGAUGCCCGCUGUUGGUCUGAAUAGGUCAGCGGCCAAGCGAAGGCAUUAAGCAUCCCACCUGGGGAGUACGCCGGCAACGGUGCAACUCAAAUGAAUUGACGGA
rnacentral:rRNA from 1 species